rnacentral:rRNA from 1 species
UACGUAGGGUGCGAGCGUUGUCCGGAAUUACUGGGCGUAAAGAGCUCGUAGGUGGUUUGUCGCGUUGUCCGUGAAAACUCACAACUCAAUUGUGGGCGUGCGGGCGAUACGGGCAGACUGGAGUACUGCAGGGGAGACUGGAAUUCCUGGUGUAGCGGUGGAAUGCGCAGAUAUCAGGAGGAACACCGGUGGCGAAGGCGGGUCUCUGGGCAUUAACUGACGCUGAGGAGCGAAAGCAUGGGGAGCGAACAGG